rnacentral:rRNA from 1 species
UAUUACCGCGGCUGCUGGCACGGAGUUAGCCGGUGCUUCCUUUGAUGGUACCGUCAAAUACAGGCGAUAUUAACACCUGCACAUUUCUUUCCAUCUGACAGGAUUUUACGACCCAAGGGCCUUCAUCAUCCACGCGGCGUCGCUGCGUCAGGGUUGCCCCCAUUGCGCAAUAUUCCUCACUGCUGCCUCCCGUAGGAGUA